rnacentral:rRNA from 1 species
GUCCAGACUCCUACGGGAGGCAGCAGUGGGGAAUAUUGCACAAUGGGGGAAACCCUGAUGCAGCGACGCCGCGUGAAGGAAGAAGUAUUUCGGUAUGUAAACUUCUAUCAGCAGGGAAGAAAAUGACGGUACCUGACUAAGAAGCCCCGGCUAACUACGUGCCAGCAGCCGCGGUAAUACGUAGGUGGCAAGCGUUGUCCGGAUUUACUGGGUGUAAAGGGAGCGUAGACGGCAGUGCAAGUCUGGAGUGAAAGGCGGGGGCUCAACCCCCGGACUGCUCUGGAAACUGUACGGCUGGAGUGCAGGAGAGGUAAGUGGAAUUCCUAGUGUAGCGGUGAAAUGCGUAGAUAUUAGGAGGAACACCAGUGGCGAAGGCGGCUUACUGGACUGUAACUGACGUUGAGGCUCGAAAGCGUGGGGAGCAAACAGGAUUAGAUACCCCUGUAA